rnacentral:tRNA from 1 species
GUCUCAGUGGCUCAGUGGUUGAGCAUCUGCCUUUGGCUCAGGUUGUGAUCCCAUGAUCCUGGGACU